UAGGGAAUCUUCCGCAAUGGACGCAAGUCUGACGGAGCAACGCCGCGUGAGUGAAGAAGGAUUUCGGUUCGUAAAACUCUGUUGUUAGAGAAGAACAGCGCAUAGAGUAACUGUUAUGCGUGUGACGGUAUCUAACCAGAAAGCCACGGCUAACUACGUGCCAGCAGCCGCGGUAAUACGUAGGUGGCAAGCGUUGUCCCGAUUUAUUGGGCGUAAAGCGAGCGCAGGCGGUCAAUUAAGUCUGAUGUGAAAGCCCCCGGCUCAACCGGGGAGGGUCAUUGGAAACUGGUUGACUUGAGUGCAGAAGAGGAGAGUGGAAUUCCAUGUGUAGCGGUGAAAUGCGUAGAUAUAUGGAGGAACACCAGUGGCGAAGGCGACUCUCUGGUCUGUAACUGACGCUGAGGUUCGAAAGCGUGGGUAGCAAACAGG
rnacentral:rRNA from 1 species